rnacentral:rRNA from 1 species
AACGAGAAAGUAUCUUCGGAUACAAGUACAGUGGCGCACGGGUGAGUAACACGUAGGUGAUCUACCCUUUAGCGGGGGAUAACACGGAGAAAUUCGUGCUAAUACCGCAUACGAAAAGCAAUUUUGGUAAUAGCUUUUGAAAGAGUGCCUCUUCUUGAAAGCACUUACUAAAGGAUGAGCCUGCGGGACAUUAGCUUGUUGGUAAGGUAACGGCUUACCAAGGCGACGAUGUCUAGCUGGUCUGAGAGGAUGAUCAGCCACACUGGAACUGAGACACGGUCCAGACUCCUACGGGAGGCAGCAGUGGGGAAUAUUGCGCAAUGGGCGAAAGCCUGACGCAGCAACGCCGCGUGAGUGAGGAAGGCCUUCGGGUUGUAAAGCUCUGUCAAAUAGGAAGAAUGGUCAUUGGUCCAAUAGGCCUUUGAUUUGACGGUACUAUUAAAGGAAGCACCGGCUAACUUCGUG